rnacentral:rRNA from 1 species
CAGCAGCCGCGGUAAUACGAAGGGGGCUAGCGUUGCUCGGAAUCACUGGGCGUAAAGGGUGCGUAGGCGGGUUUUUAAGUCAGAGAUGAAAUCCUGGAGCUCAACUCCAGAACUGCCUUUGAUACUGAAAGUCUUGAGUAUGGGAGAGGUGAGUGGAACUGCGAGUGUAGAGGUGAAAUUCGUAGAUAUUCGCAAGAACACCAGUGGCGAAGGCGGCUUACUGGCUCAUUCUAGACGCUGAGGUGCGAAAGCGUGGGGAGCAAACAGGAUUAGAUACCCCAGUAGUCCCUGUCUCUUAUAC